GAUGAACGCUGGCGGCGUGCUUAACACAUGCAAGUCGAGCGAGUGAGUUCUUCGGAACGAUCUAGCGGCGGACGGGUGAGUAGCACGUGGGCAACCUGCCUCAUAGGGGGGAAUAGCCUUCCGAAAGGAAGAUUAAUACCGCAUAACAUCGUUGAAGGGCGUCCUUCGAUGAUCAAAGGAGCAAUCCGCUAUGAGAUGGGCCCGCGGCGCAUUAGCUAGUUGGUGAGGUAACGGCUCACCAAGGCGACGAGGCGUAGCCGACCUGAGAGGGUGAUCGGCCACAUUGGGACUGAGACACGGCCCAGACUCCUACGGGAGGCAGCAGUGGGGAAUAUUGCACAAUGGGGGAAACCCUGAUGCAGCAACGCCGCGUGAGUGAUGACGGCCUUCGGGUUGUAAAGCUCUGUCUUUGGGGACGAUAAUGACGGUACCCAAGGAGGAAGUCACGGCUAACUACGUGCCAGCCGCCGCGGUAAUAC
rnacentral:rRNA from 1 species